GUGGGGAAAAGGGCCGCGUCAAAAGCAGCCGGAUGUGUUGCCGGAGGAGCCGUUGGACUUCUGUUCUCAGUUCCUGAACUGGUUUCUGACUGUCAAAACCUGGACAACUACGAGACUGAAGCCAGUAAGGCCCUGAGAAAGAAUGCUGAAGCUGUACAGACCGCUGCUAAGGAGGUGGAAGAAGAGCUGCAGAAAAUAAGAGAGGCUCUACUGAAGUUAGCUCGGAUUAAAUUGAUUAUUGAGAAGGAAAACCGAAGCAGUGAUG